AACCUUGAAACACUGGUUCCCGUACGAUCACUGACGUUAAGCAACAUCGAGUCUGGUCUGUACUUAGAUGGGUGACCGCUUCGGAAUAAUAGGUACUA